GGGGGGGGGGGGGGGGGGGCGGGGGGGGGGGGGGUGGGGGGGGGGGGGGGUGGGGGGUGGGCGAGGGGGGGACGGGUGAGUGAGAGGGGCGUAACCGGGCGGAGGCUUGGGGAUAACGCACGGGAACGGGGGCUAAUGCCGGAGACGAGACAGAGUCGCAUGGGGGCUGGGUGGAAGGUUGUUCGGUGGGGGAUGGGCUCGCGGCCUAUCAGCUUGUUGGUGGGGUGAUGGCCUACCAAGGCGACGACGGGUAGCCGGCCUGAGAGGGCGACCGGCCACACUGGGACUGAGACACGGCCCAGACUCCUACGGGAGGCAGCAGUGGGGAAUAUUGCACAAUGGGCGGAAGCCUGAUGCAGCGACGCCGCGUGAGGGAUGACGGCCUUCGGGUUGUAAACCUCUUUCAGCAGGGACGAAGCGUAAGUGACGGUACCUGCAGAAGAAGCGCCGGCCAACUACGUG
rnacentral:rRNA from 1 species